AACGAACGCUGGCGGCAUGCCUAACACAUGCAAGUCGAACGAGACCUUCGGGUCUAGUGGCGCACGGGUGCGUAACACGUGGGAAUCUGCCCUUUGCUUCGGAAUAACAGUUAGAAAUGACUGCUAAUACCGGAUGAUGUCGAAAGACCAAAGAUUUAUCGUCAAAGGAUGAGCCCGCGUAGGAUUAGGUAGUUGGUGGGGUAAAGGCCUACCAAGCCGACGAUCCUUAGCUGGUCUGAGAGGAUGAUCAGCCACACUGGGACUGAGACACGGCCCAGACUCCUACGGGAGGCAGCAGUGGGGAAUAUUGGAAAAUGGGCGAAAGCAUGAUACAGCAAUGCCGGGUGAGUGAUGAAGGCAUUAGGGUAGUAAAGCUCUUUUAAAAGGGAUGAUAAUGACAGUACCUGGAGAAUAAGCACCGGCUAACUCCGUG
rnacentral:rRNA from 1 species